UUGCACGCUGGCGGCAGGCCUAACACAUGCAAGUCGAGCGGAUGAAGGGAGCUUGCUCCUGGAUUCAGCGGCGGACGGGUGAGUAAUGCCUAGGAAUCUGCCUGGUAGUGGGGGAUAACGUCCGGAAACGGGCGCUAAUACCGCAUACGUCCUGAGGGAGAAAGUGGGGGAUCUUCGGACCUCACGCUAUCAGAUGAGCCUAGGUCGGAUUAGCUAGUUGGUGGGGUAAAGGCCUACCAAGGCGACGAUCCGUAACUGGUCUGAGAGGAUGAUCAGUCACACUGGAACUGGAACACGGUCCAGGCUCCUACGGGAGGCAGCAGGGGGGAAUAUUGGACAAUGGGCGAAAGCCUGAUCCAGCCAUGCCGGGGGUGUGAAGAAGGUCUGCGGAUUGUAAAGCACUUUAAGUUGGGAGGAAGGGCAGUAAGUUAAUACCUGGCUGUUUUGACGUUACCAACAAAAUAAGCACCGGCUAACUUCGU
rnacentral:rRNA from 1 species